CCACCCCUGGCUGGCAGUGCCCGUGCUGCUGGGGCCGCUGGUGGCUGCAGCCCCUCUGGCCGUGCUGCAGCCCCUGGCUUCCUUCGCAGCCCCUCCUCUGGCCGUGCUGCAGCCCCCACCUUCUUUGGCAGCCCCUUCUCUGGCCGUGCUGCAGCCCCCGGCUUCCAUCUCAGCCUCCAGUAGCCCCCAGCAGCCUCACCUACCAGCAGGGAGAUCACGGGCUGGCAGCCCAGAGAGGAUGAGCCACUGCGUCCUGGGACACCACUCUCCCCGCCAGCAUGGGGUGAAGAGCAACACCUGAUGCUGCCCCAGCGCUGGCAGAAGAACAGCAGCUCUGCAGAGACCCGUCCUGCCAGCAGAGCAUCACGGAGAAGAAGACGCGCCUUCUGCUCACAGGAAGAGGAGUCCUUGCACAUCACUUGACCCCCUCCUCCAGGAGGAAGCAGGAUCAGCACCCGGUGCUGCCCCAGCGCCGGCAGAAGAACAGCGGC
ensembl:lncRNA